AAAGACUGCGUAUUUCUCCGAGUGAUAGGCUCCAUUUGCAUGCGUGGUGCAGACAUUUUGCAGAGCAUCAGGGUUCCCAGGCCUCCGAUUUGUAAAGGAUUGUCAGGCCACCCCUUUCCUCGUUCACGUGGAGAGUGCCUAAGAGGAUUUAGAAUCAAGUGGGCACAUUUGCACGGCCUUGUUCUGAAGAGGCAGCUGGAGCUGGGCCGCCGACCUGGCGCAGACGACCGCGGGUCCCGGGGGACGCAUUGUCCUCCGAGGGGCCGCCACGGGGACUCCAUUGUGCGCGGGGCAGGCCUUUCUCUCCUGCCCUCUGUCUCCCCCGGGCCUCCUCCCCACCCCCCACGCAGACUUUUCUCUCUAGCUGCCCGGAUUCCCCCCGCUGCCGCAUUUCCCAUGCAGAGGCGCGGGCAGGGCUCGGCUGGCCAUCUGCACGCGGAGAUUGACAGCAGCCCCGGAAGCUUAAUUUGACCCUGGGAAAAAAAUCAAUACUGGAUUUUGAGAGAAGACAAUUUUUUCAGGUGCUGUAUAUUAGACCACAGCAUAAAAGAAAGCUGCUUCUGGAAAUUCAAAGGUGCUCUGGAAACGAUACACACCUCUAUGUUAUGGAUUAAGUGGGCUUUUGUGGGCUGGUCUGGGAGCUAGACCACCACAUGCAAUGGUUUCUAUGGGAAAUUAGUCCCCACUGAGAAGCUGGAUGUGAACACUGCUGCCAAAGAAGAGAGAAUUUCCUCCCACGGCUUUGAUGAUACCACCCAGAAGAAAGAAGGGACAGCCUUUUUUGUGAAUCACUUCUUUUUCUGCGAAGCUCCUGACAUGCAGGAGAGCAUUAGAAGAAACACACUUGCCACAGGGGUCCUGGAACAACUUGAUUUGGAAGCUGGAGAUGAAUUUCCACAGGCCCAUUACUUGGGAAAACCCCAGAGAGCUGCAGCUAUUAGCAUUCUGCAGUGAAUUGGGCAGCACACACUAAUGGCCAAGGAAA